rnacentral:rRNA from 1 species
UACGUAGGGUGCAAGCGUUGUCCGGAAUUAUUGGGCGUAAAGAGCUCGUAGGCGGUCUGUCGCGUCGGCUGUGAAAACCCGGAGCUCAACUCCGGGCCUGCAGUCGAUACGGGCAAACUGGAGUGUUGCAGGGGAGACUGGAAUUCCUGGUGUAGCGGUGAAAUGUGUAGAGAUCGGGAGGAACACCGGUGGCGAAGGCGGGUCUCUGGGCAAUUCCUGACGCUGAGGCGCGAAAGCGUGGGGAGCAAACGGG